UACGGAAGGCGCAGUGGGGAAUAUUGCACAAUGGGCGCAAGCCUGAUGCAGCCAUGCCGCGUGUAUGAAAAAGGCCUUCGGGUUGUAAAGUACUUUCAGUCGUGAGGAAGGUGUUAAGGUUAAUAACCUUAGCAAUUGACGUUAGCGACAGAAGAAGCACCGGCUAACUCCGUGCCAGCAGCCGCGGUAAUACGGAGGGUGCGAGCGUUAAUCGGAAUUACUGGGCGUAAAGGGCACGCAGGCGGUUAAUUAAGUUGGAUGUGAAAUCCCCGGGCUUAACCUGGGAAUGGCACUCAAGACUGGUUAGCUAGAGUCUUGUAGAGGGGGUAGAAUUCCAUGUGUAGCGGUGAAAUGCGUAGAGAUGUGGAGGAAUACCGGUGGCGAAGGCGGCCCCUGGACAAGCUGACGCUCAUGUGCGAAAGCGUGGGGAGCAAACAGGGAUUAGAUACC
rnacentral:rRNA from 1 species